rnacentral:rRNA from 1 species
UACGUAGGCAGCGAGCGUUGUUCGGAGUUACUGGGCGUAAAGCGUGCGUAGGCGGUCCUGUAAGUCUGGUGUGAAAUCUCCCGGCUCAACUGGGAGGGUGCGCCGGAAACUGUGGGGCUGGAGUGUGGGAGAGGUAAGCGGAAUUCCUGGUGUAGCGGUGAAAUGCGUAGAUAUCAGGAGGAACACCUGUGGUGUAGACGGCUUACUGGACCACGACUGACGCUGAGGCACGAAAGCGUGGGGAGCAAACAGGAUUAGAAACCCUUGUAGUCC